AAUACAGAAGCAGGCAAGGAGUUCCAGAGUUUACCAGAAAAAGUAAUGAAUGACUACAAAUACUGGGUAACUCUUGUAUUAGGGAGGUGGACAGAAGAGGGGAGAGAGAAGGGAAGGCACACAGCAUUAUCUGAAGAGCAGUUAGUGUGAAAAUGGAGGAAGAAGACAGCAAGAGAUGCAACACUGCGGCGAUGAGAGGGAGGCUAGUGACGGUCAGCUGGCCUCGAGGGUGCACCAGGAAAGCCGUGUGUGCAUAUAUAAAGAGGCAAGCACCUGUCACCUGUGCGUGUGUUCUACUCCUCCUGCUCCCGUUAAGAUGGCGCCAGCGGCUACACAAACACUGCUGGUGAUGACAGUGGCGGUGGUGACGCUCUGGCCACUCCACGCCACCGCCACCAACAGCACCACCACCACCACAACCACCACCGCGGCCGCCACACCUUCAGAAGACCGCGUGGGGGAGCAGAGAAGGGCAGAGAGACUUCUUGCCUUCUACACCACGACGUCUGUGAAGCUCCUGGCUACCACCACUAUCAGCGUUCCUUUCACCUGUCUCUCCACUAAUCCUGGUUCGGCGCCUUGCAACGGCCGGAGGAAAAGAGCGUUGUGGAAUGACAUGGAAAUCCUGCGGGACAUCUCCGGGGUUGAGCUGCUGGAGGGAAGCGAGGGAGACGAGGCGGCGGUGAAGGAGGGGCAAGGAGAGAGAGAGAGGGACGGAAGGAAGCUUACCAUUUGGUCUACUGUUAAAUCUACGCUAACACUAACUUCUACCUCUUACCUCGUUGGCACCACCAUUACUGCCACCGCCUUCUGCCUUACUGCUGGAAUUUCACAGGGCUGUUUCGGGUAGUCAGGUUGUCCUCUUCUUUUUUUUUCUUCUUUUUCUUCUUUACGAUGUUGUUUUUUCUACUUUCAUCACCGUGGUUAGGUUUUUAUCUCUUCUUCCUUCUCCGUCUCCUUCCUUCUUUAUUUAUUUAUUUCCUCGUGUUCCUCUCUUCCUUUUCCUCCUCCUUCUUCUUCUUCUUCUUCUUCUUUCCUUUGUGGUUAUCUUCCUAUGGCUAAAUAACUUGUUUCUUUUGUACUUUUCUUAUUUCUUCUUAUUCGUCUUCUUUCAUCUUAUUAUUCUGUUUUUUCUUCCUCUUCUCGUACGGAAAAAAAUGUACUGCUGUCUCUUAUUUUGACUUUUUUUUCUUCUUUUUCUCCCUCCCCCCCUCCUCCUCCUCCUCCUCCUCCUCCUCCUCCUCCUCCUCCUCCUCCUCCUUUUUCGCCUCAAAUUUUGGCCUCUUUUCAUUAUUAUUUACAUUGUUGACUGAUCUACUCAUUCUUAUUUAUUUAUUUAUCUAUUUUUUUAUCUAUUUUUUUAUCGUAAUGAAUGGUGAUUUUAAUAACAUGAUGAUGAUGAUGAUGAUGAUGAUGAUGAUGAUGACGAUGAUGAUGAUGAUGAUGACGAUGAUGAUGAUAGGGCCAAGUUUCCUCAUCACGAAAAUAAAACAGCAAAAUCUUAAGCAUUGAAUAAUAAAUAAAUACAUAAAUACAUAAAUAAAUGAAUGAAUGAAUGAAUGAAUGAAUGAAUAAAUAAAUAAAUAAAUAAAUAAUAAAUAAAUAAACAAACAAACAAACAAAGCACAACAAUGAACAUGGAGGCCGAAUACUCUCUCUCUCUCUCUCUCUCUCUCUCUCUCUCUCUCUCUCUCUCUCUCUCUCUCUCUCUCUCUCUCUCUCUCUCUCUCUCUCUCUCUCUCAACCCCAGGGCAACGCAAAGGACACCUCGGUAACGACCACCACCACCACCACGACCACCACCACUACCACCACCACCACCACCACCACCACCUCACCUGCUUAC